AUGAACGCUAGCGACAGGCCUAAACACAUGCAAGUCGAGGGGCAGCACAGGAGCAAUCUGAGGUGGCGACCGGCGCACGGGUGAGUAACACGUAUGCAACCUGCCUGUAAGCGGGGAAUAACCCGUUGAAAGACGGACUAAUACCGCAUAAUACUAAAUUACUGCAUGGUAAUUUAUUUAAACAUUUAUGGCUUACAGAUGGGCAUGCGCAUGAUUAGCUAGUUGGAGAGGUAACGGCUCCCCAAGGCAACGAUCAUUAGGGGUUCUGAGAGGAAGGUCCCCCACACUGGUACUGAGACACGGACCAGACUCCUACGGGAGGCAGCAGUGAGGAAUAUUGGUCAAUGGACGAGAGUCUGAACCAGCCAAGUCGCGUGCAGGAAGAAUGUCCUUAAUGGAUUGUAAACUGCUUUUGCAGGGGAAUAAAGUGCAUCACGUGUGAUGUUUUGUAUGUACUCUGCGAAUAAGGAUCGGCUAACUCCGUGCCAGCCGCAGC
rnacentral:rRNA from 1 species